CUGGCAUCUUGGAUCAGUUUGAGACCCUUCAGGUGCUGCUCAAAGAUCUCUCUUCUCUCCUGGAGUGUUGGAAGAUCAAUAAAGAUGUGUCUGUCAAGCCUGCCAGGUCUCAUCAAGGCAUUAUCCAAAACAUCAGCACGGUUGGUGGAAGCCAGCACUAUGACAUGAUCUGUGGUCCCCAUUCCUGUAGCAAGACAAGUAAAAUCAAAAGUGAAGGUUUUCACCAUCACAGAGACUUCCUUGCAAGCAUAGAAAGGGAUGAGGCAGGGCAGGAUGCAGAGAAUAUCUCACACAGCUUUAUCACAAAGGCAGAAUGCGUUUACAACAUCCUUUGGGGCAGCUGAGGCUGAGGAAGCGUCCUCUUUAGCUAGGAGUAUAAGGCAGGAAGGAACCUCUCGAGUCACCCAAGCCACUCCUGGUCAUCGCGGGCACGCUGAAAUUCCCUUUCAAGCCCCAACUUUGUUUUAUUAGGUUUUCUUUUGCCAUAUUUUGAAAUUGCUCCAACUGGAAAGCAGAACAGCACCUACUCUGAUGAGUUCGGACAUGCCUGCUCAUCCCCAGCCUU
rnacentral:lncRNA from 1 species